AGUCGUAACAAGGUAUCCGUAGGUGAACCUGCGGAUGGAUCAUUACCAAAGGUUUUAACACCCAAAGUAUUGUGAACUGUUUAGAAUAUGGUCAGCGCUAACUGUUUUUUGUUGAUUUCUUAGUUGAAACAACAUGCUGUGACCGCUGACCGACCACAACGUCAAAAAUCAAUAACUGAAUUUUUAUUUUUUAAAACAAAAAAUAACUUUUAGCAACGGAUCUCUUGGCUCUC
rnacentral:misc_RNA from 1 species